rnacentral:rRNA from 1 species
AACGAACGCUGGCGGCAGGCCUAACACAUGCAAGUCGAACGCCCUAGCAAUAGGGAGUGGCGCACGGGUGCGUAACGCGUGGGAAUAUGCCCUUCACUGCGGAAUAACGUUUGGAAACGAACGCUAAUACCGCAUAAUGACUCCGGUCCAAAGAUUUAUCGGUGAAGGAUUAGCCCGCGUUAGAUUAGCUAGUUGGUGAGGUAAUGGCUCACCAAGGCGACGAUCUAUAGCUGGUCUGAGAGGAUGAUCAGCCACACUGGGACUGAGACACGGCCCAGACUCCUACGGGAGGCAGCAGUGAGGGAUAUUGGACAAUGGGCGCAAGCCUGAUCCAGCCAUGCCGCGUGAGUGAAGAAGGCCUUCGGGUUGUAAAGCUCUUUCUAGAUGUGAAGAUAAUGACGGUAGCAUCAGAAGAAGCCCGGCUAAUUACGUGCCAGCAGCCGCGGUAA